CAAAAAGCUACCACUCUCUCUAUUUUUCUGCAAUCACUCGUUUUAUUUGUUUUAUUUUUUCUUACAGUUUCUCUUUCCAUCCUCUUAUAAUUUUGUCUAAACAAUAUGUGCCAUACCUUCUAAACUUUUCAUAUGCUCCAUAUUUCUUCUUCGAAAAUCUCUUACUUUUCUUGUUAGUAUAAGCAUUUUUUAAGCUCGUCAAGAUGUACUCUGUUUUGUUUUCUGUUAUUCUAAGAAAAUGUUUUACCUUCUAAACUGGUACUUAACUCUAUCACUUUUCUCUUUUGAUGCAGUUUAGAUCCUUUUCACCUUCACGCUUUCCAGACUGAAAGACCUCAAUUUAUAUCUUCGAGAAUUUGAUUCAAAUUGAUACGAUUAAAAACACCACUAUCAAACCACGUCAUUGUUACGUUUCUUUAAGUUAUAUUAAAAAAUGUUGGAUUAGUUGUAUAAAAUUCUAGAAAAAUUCUUUCUAAUGCCCUUUUCAUUAUGCCCCUUUUUAACUUUACCCUUUUUUUAGCCAUUUUCAUUUUUACCCUCUUUAGCCAUUAUGACCAUUUUACCCCUAUUUGAAAAUUGUUUUAGGUUAACAAAAUAAAAUAUUAAUAUUUUUCGCCUAAAAUAUCCAAAAUAAAUUUCCCGCCAAAAAAAUUCGAAAAAAAUUACCGCCAAAAAGUUUUUUGUCAAAACUAGUUUUCUCGCAAAAAA
rnacentral:sRNA from 1 species